AACUGUUAUAAAUACAGAUAUAAUCACUCUUUAUUAUCCUCUUAAUUCUCCUCCUAAUUCCCCCCUUAAGUUACACUUUGACUACAUUAAUGUUCAGUUACAUUUUGACUAAUCAUUGUAUAUAUAUAUGUGUGAUUGGUAAAUGAAAGAUACACUUCUCAUUUUUUCUUAUUUCAUAUCACGUUAUCAGCACGAAGCUCUAACCAACUAAGUUUUCUGGCAAUCUUCAAAGAGACAGAUUCAACAGGAAUUUAUCAUUCAUCGCAUCCUGGCUCUACACAUUCUCUCCAUCUCUCCACUCCAUCUAUCUGCAUUUCAUUCUGAUUACAUACGAAUCUCUCAACAUUUCACCAUCACCAGUUCGUCGAUUACAAUCGAUUCACCAUAUCGAAGCAUUUGGAUUGACAUUUUAUCGGAGAUUUGAGAUUUUACAAGCAUAUAUUUCAGAUUUCGUCAUAUAAUCGAGAUCAGCAAUUGAAAAAAAAAUCGGAAAUUUUUUUUUGAAGAAAGUCACAUUUGUAUUAAAAUCAAAAGAUGGAGAAUCGUCAAAAAUGCUAGACGCAGACACAGACGCAGACGCAGGCGCAACGAAAGAGAAUAUGAAUAAUAAACAAAAAGUUUAUAAAUGAAGAUGUGAAAAAAGCGAGGAAGGAUGUGCACAAGGACAUUAAUAUGAGGAUUAGCAAGCGGAAACAAGUGGAAACAACAAAUGAAGGUUUUGUUGAAGUUUGCACGACAAAGAAUAGAAGGUUAUCAACAUUAAAAGCCAAUAGUGACAAGGAUGUCAAUAAGGCAGAUAACACUGUUGUUGAUGUUAUGUGUUAUUUAAAAUUUUAUAAAUAAACUUUAAGAUGCACAUGUGCAUUAGUAUCUAAGAACAUCUCAUAACAUGUGUUAUUGUGUUUGCACAUGUGCAUAUAAUGUGUAGAUAAACAGGUUCAAUGAAAGAAGGGAUAUCAUCAAAAAGAGUUAAGAAACUAGCAAAAAAAUCAACAUCACAAAUAGUUAAAUUAAUCACAAAAAAGACAGAGAGUAAAGAAAUUGUUAAAGGGACAGAAUGUAAAAAAAUUGUUAGAGCUGUCAACUGGAGAUCUAUACGGACACGUUUGUUGC